AUUGAACGCUGGCGGCAGGCCUAACACAUGCAAGUCGAACGAGUGGCGGACGGGUGAGUAAUGUCUGGGAAACUGCCUGAUGGAGGGGGAUAACUACUGGAAACGGUAGCUAAUACCGCAUCCCAUCGGAUGUGCCCAGAUGGGAUUAGCUAGUAGGGGGGGUAAAGGCUCACCUAGGCGACGCUCCCUAGCUGGUCUGAGAGGGUGACCAGCCACACUGGAACUGAGACACGGUCCAGACUCCUCCGGGGGGCAGCAGUGGGGAAUAUUGCACAAUGGGCGCAAUCCUGAUGCAGCCAUGCCGCUUGUAUGAAGAAGGCCUUCGGGUUGUAAAGUACUUUCAGCGGGGAGGCGUUACCCGCAGAAGAAGCACCGGCUAACUCCGUGCCAGCAGCCGCGGUAAUUC
rnacentral:rRNA from 1 species